CACGAUUCGCGGCUCUCUGUGCCCACGUGUCUACAGUGGCGACGUGUCCACGCAGGACCAGAGCAUUCGCCUGUGUCCGGGGGCGGGCAGAGCCCGCGAUCUCACGCGCCCGGACCAGUGCGCCCCCCACACCUCGCCCUCACGUCGCUGACUCCAAGAGCUCAGACGGAGAACACACAAUGCAAGAGAAGCAGCUGCAGCCUCGUCCAAUUAUGGUGCUAAAUUACCAAGCCAAAGGCGCUCGGAGGAAGACAGAGACAGAGAGAGUGAGACACGCACACAGAGACGGAGAGACGCAGAGACAGCGAGAGGGAGCAUGCAGUUCUGGUACAAAGUGAAUCCAAACUCACCAUGGAUGAAUAGGUGUGGACUAACAUCUGGAAAAAAAAGCCUGGUUACUGCUCAAAAUCAAACAAUGAUUUCCAAAAAAAAAAAAAAAA